UUUGUUUCCACGACAGUGUGCAUGUCUUUAUCGGCAUAUUUUCUUUUACCUUCAUAUUUUAGUGUAAAAUUAUGUUUUCUGAUUUCUGACUGUGAAUAUUUCAAAAGGAAGAGCACAUGCAGCCACCUCAACCAAAGGUCUGAAAAGUGGCAAAAAGAGAAGACCAGAUCCAGGGAGACGACAGGAAGCUCAAGAUGAAUGAGAAGUGCCACAUUCAGCUGUAGCAACGAGAUCUGAUGAUGAAGAUGAUGGAGGCGGUAACAGUACCAACUUGGACACUGAAAACACAGGCACCUACAAAAGGCCACCGAAGAUGCAGUCAAUUAAAGAAAGAAAUUAUGCUGAUGACGCUGAUGACGACAUGAGUGAUGUUUCUGGCAGUGAAUAUGGCGAUGGAGGGGUGUGCCAUAAGACAGUUAAGAAGACUGUCAAGAAAAAAAAAGACAAUGUUGGGAAGACAUGGAUUGGUCUAUGACGCAUCUUUCACACAUGGCCAAGAACAACCAUCAGGGAGCGCCACCAAACGAAAGAGGAUUGCAACACUUACACAUGACGACGAUGAUGUUGAAGACAGCGGUGA